CGGUAUAGCUCAGAUGGUAGAGCAACUGACUUGUAAUCAGUAGGUCCCGGGUUCGAUUCCUGGUGCCGG
rnacentral:tRNA from 1 species